UUUCCGUAGGUGAACCUGCGGAAGGAUCAUUAAUUAUAUAAGGCCACAGGGCGAGCUUUCCGAAAGGAUCGAGCUUGCUGUGUGAACCCUACCUACCCUUGCUUUCUGCGUACCCAUUGUUUCCUCGGCAGGCUUGCCUGCCAGUAGGACCCUCAUAAACCCUUCGUAAUUGCAGUCAGCGUCAGAAACAACGUAAUCGUUACAACUUUCAGCAACGGAUCUCUUGGUUCUG
rnacentral:misc_RNA from 1 species